GGCAUGGUAUCGAGCAAGGGUGAAAACACUCACCUGCCUGGGAAGCAGAUUCCUUCACUGGACUGACAGUAAACCUGCACCAGCUGCACAAUGAAGGGAUGGAGAAGAGAUGAGUGGAGGACAAACUUUAUUCGAAGUACUGUUGCUAACAGUGUUCAAUGCAACUUGUAUUUAGAAGGAAAUCGUCCUGCAGAAUCCCGGGGUUGUACUGUUGCCCAAAGACAGCUUUGGCAAGAGGGCAGCUGCUAAGUUGGGCUUCAAGCUGAAGAUCAAUAACAUUCACUGACAGGCUGAACCGGCAAACUGACGACAGCGGACUUCCUUAAGAAGUCACGGAGCAACAGAAGGAAGAUUGUUCUGGAGUGGGUCUCGCAAAUGGCCACUGAUGCGUCAUUCAGAAUGGUGUAAAAUGGCCACCUGUGCAUAACUGCAGGCUCCUCCUCGCUACUCAGUGGUUGCUGCAGCUACAUCGUGGGAAAAAAGCUGGCUGGAGGAAAAAGCAGUUCCCUGCUGUCUUCUGUUCCGGAAUAAAACAAGUU